UACGGGGGGAGCAAGCGUUGUUCGGAUUUACUGGGCGUAAAGGGCGCGUAGGCGGCCAGCGCAAGUCAGUUGUGAAAUCUCCGAGCUUAACUCGGAAAGGUCAACUGAUACUGCGCGGCUAGAGUGCAGAAGGGGCAACUGGAAUUCUCGGUGUAGCGGUGAAAUGCGUAGAUAUCGAGAGGAACACCGAUGGCGAAGGCAGGUCUCUGGGCUGACACUGACGCUCAUGCACGAAAGCGUGGGGAGCAAACAGG
rnacentral:rRNA from 1 species